GCCAGGCAUGGUGUUGUGUGCCUGUAGUCUUAGUUACUCAGGAAGCUGAGGCAGGAGGAUUGCUUGAGCCCAGGAGAUCAAGGCUGCAGUGAGCCAUGAUUGUGCCACUGCACCAUAGCCUGAGCAACAGAGCGAGACUCUGCCUCAA
ensembl:misc_RNA Metazoa_SRP Metazoan signal recognition particle RNA